rnacentral:rRNA from 1 species
AUGACGUCAAGUCCUCAUGGCCCUUAUAGGUGGGGGUACACACGUCAUACAAUGGCCGGCCCAAAGGGCAGCCAACCCGCGAGGGGGAGCCAAUCCCAUAAAGCCGGUCGUAGUCCGGAUCGCAGUCUGCAACUCGACUGCGUGAAGUCGGAAUCGCUAGUAAUCGUGGAUCAGAAUGUCACGGUGAAUACGUUCCCGGGUCUUGUACACACCGCCCGUCACACCAUGGGAGCGGGUUCUGCCAGAAGUAGUUAGCCUAACCGCAAGGAGGGCGAUUACCACGGCAGGGUUCGUGACUGGGGUGAAGUCGUAACAAGGUAACCAAUC